rnacentral:lncRNA from 1 species
CACGGCAUGGGCGCCCGCCCACCGGAGGAGCGACUGGAGUUGAUCGGCUGGGCGCUCAGAACCUGGACAACUACCCUCAAUUGGUAACAUAUUUUGGUGAGCCAGCCAGAAGGGCCACUCUCUGGUGAAACUAAAAGGUCCAUGUGGAAGCACCUGACUGCCACCACCUGGUUCAGAAAUUACAAUUUGGGGACAGGAGGAGAGAUACAGGUGGGAAGUCACAGGAACUAAAGUCAAACUAAAGGAAAAUCUGUGGCGAGAAGGUCCAUGAAGUUCUACUGCUAAGGUCCCUGAAGUUGAUCUGGUUCCUCCCGCUUCUGGACUUUUCCUUGGACUCCAUGAGAUAAUCUAAUGUUCUUUCAAUAGUUUCACUCUUGUUGCCCAGGCUGGAGUGCAAUGGUGUGAUUUCAGCUUACUGAAACCUCCACCUCCUAGGUUCAAGAGAUUCUCCUGCCUCAGCUUCCCGAGUAGCUGGAAUUACAGCUUCAGAUCCAAAUGGUAUGCUAGCAUUCUCUUCCUAGCAGUCCACUGUCAAGACUUCACUGUUAGAAGAAGAAUCACACCAGAAUUAAGGUCAAAUGGAUUAUCUUAUUCUUAAUUGCUGAAAAUCACACCUCAUUGAAAUUUGCUUCAUAACUGAACCAUGAAUUUUUCAUCAAACAUACUUUUGUGUUUCUCCUCCUGGCAUUCUUUAUGAGGAACUUCUUUUUGGAGCUCACUGACUUCCUGUUCUAAUUUGGUCCAGUUAUUUUCUAGAAUUGCUACAUGACUGUCAUCCUGGGACAUCCUUCUGUUGGAAUCUGGGAGAGCUUACAACUUUUCAUAUCCUCUCUUCUUCUUUGUGUUUUUCACCCUGAAGUGUACAAAGUCAAAUGAAUUUCCUAGAAAAA